UUCAGUUCGGCUGGAUAGGUGACAGGUGCUGCAUGGCUGUCGUCAGCUCGUGUCGUGAGAUGUUGGGUUAAGUCCCGCAACGAGCGCAACCCUCGCCUUUAGUUGCCAGCAUUUAGUUGGGCACUCUAAAGGAACCGCCAGUGAUAAGCCGGAGGAAGGUGGGGAUGACGUCAAGUCCUCAUGGCCCUUACGCGUUGGGCUACACACGUGCUACAAUGGCGACUACAGUGGGCAGCCACCUCGCGAGAGGGAGCUAAUCUCCAAAAGUCGUCUCAGUUCGGAUCGUUCUCUGCAACUCGAGAGCGUGAAGGCGGAAUCGCUAGUAAUCGCGGAUCAGCAUGCCGCGGUGAAUACGUUCCCAGGCCUUGUACACACCGCCCGUCACACCAUGGGAGUUGGAUUCACUCGAAGGCGUUGAGCUAACCGUAAGGAGGCAGGCGACCACAGUGGGUUUAGCGACUGGGGUGAAGUCGUAACAAGGUAGCCGUAGGGGAACCUGCGGCUGGAUCACCUCCUUA
rnacentral:rRNA from 1 species